rnacentral:rRNA from 1 species
GACGAACGCUGGCGGCGUGCUUAACACAUGCAAGUCGAACGGAAAGGCCCUUCUUUUGUGGGUUGCUCGAGUGGCGAACGGGUGAGUAACACGUGAGUAACCUGCCCUUGACUUUGGGAUAACUUCAGGAAACUGGGGCUAAUACCGGAUAGGAGCUCCUGCUGCAUGGUGGGGGUUGGAAAGUUUCGGCGGUUGGGGAUGGACUCGCGGCUUAUCAGCUUGUUGGUGGGGUAGUGGCUUACCAAGGCUUUGACGGGUAGCCGGCCUGAGAGGGUGACCGGCCACAUUGGGACUGAGAUACGGCCCAGACUCCUACGGGAGGCAGCAGUGGGGAAUAUUGCACAAUGGGCGGAAGCCUGAUGCAGCAACACCGCGUGCGGGAUGACGGCCUUCGGGUUGUAAACCGCUUUCGCCUGUGACGAAGCGUGAGUGACGGUAAUGGGUAAAGAAGCACCGGCUAACUACGUG